GAGUUUGAUCUUGGCUCAGGACGAACGCUGGCGGCGUGCUUAACACAUGCAAGUGGAGCGACGAACCAGGGCUUGCCCUGGGGCAAAGCCGCGAACGGGUGAGUAACACGUGGGUAACCUGCCCCGAUGACUGGGACAACCCGAGGAAACUCGGGCUAAUACCAGAUGAGCUCCUGCCACAUGAGUGGCUUGAGGAAAGGAAGCUUCGGCCUCCGCAUCGGGAUGGGCCCGCGGCCCAUUAGCUUGUUGGUGAGGUAACGGCUCACCAAGGCUUCGAUGGGUAGCUGGUCUGAGAGGACGAUCAGCCACACUGGGACUGAGACACGGCCCAGACUCCUACGGGAGGCAGCAGUGGGGAAUCUUGCGCAAUGCGCGAAAGCGUGACGCAGCAACGCCGCGUGC
rnacentral:rRNA from 1 species